GGAGAGGAAGUGUGUGCGAGGAACUGGGAGCAAGAGGUGUGUAAGAAGCUGAGCGUGAGUAGGCAUAUUGCUGGAGGACUAAGAAGUACAAGCAUUAUCAGACAUCAGGAAGAAGGUCUGGUGGUCAGAUACUAACCCUUCAUUGCUUGAGUCUCUACCUGCUGUAGAAAGAACCUUUGUUUGAAAAGUGGUAAUGUAUACCGGAUGGGGAAUAUACUUGCCUGCUUCAUCUAAUUCCUCAACAAAGAUUCUUCUUCUGACCAUAGCUCUGCUUAUCUUUUGAAUGAUGGUCGAUUAUUCUGACAUUUCUCAAGCUCACCCAGGACAAAAUGUUUGUUUCCAAAGAUUUUCACAGAAAGCAGAAGUCUCACAAAUACACAGCCAGAUGCGUGUCUAUGCUGGAAGGGUUAUCAUGGCCAUUUUGAUAACAAUCUCUUCGAUUUCCAUCCUCUUGGAAAUAAGUCAACUUGAGAAGUGGCUACAACAUCGUGUGACUGUAGAGAGCAGACACCAAAGCCUGUCAGUGUUCUGCUGAAGGUAUAAAACACAUUUCCAAAAAUGCCUUCUCUUAACACUUGUGCUCUUGAAGAUGAUUUGCAAAGAAUUUUUGAAACAUUUUGGCUUUUGCUUUUGGGCUCUUUUUUGCUGCUUUGUAAAGGAGGACUGAAAGGGUGGUUUUGGGGUAUGGUGAAGUGGAACUGUUCUCUUAUUUCUUAGCUUAAAAUAUCGGGA